UAGGUCCAUGGUGAAUGCCUGUGGAGCUGCAAGGCGAAGAAGGCCGUGAUAAGCUGCGAAAAGCCGCGGGGAGAAGCACAUAUUUGUUGAUCCGCGGACUGCCGAAUGGGGUAACCCGUCAGGAGCGAUUCUGACACCGCAACGUCUGAAUAAAAUAGGGCGGCGGAGCGAAACUGUGUGAAGUGAACCAUCUAAGUAACACGGGAGAAGAAAUCAAAAGAGAUUCCGUAAGUAGCGGCGAGCGAACGCGGAAGAGCCCAAACCACACAAGUGGGGUUGAAGGGCCGCAUGGGGAUGACCCGGAAAGUUAGAGAAAACCGAUUUAUAGCGGAAUGAUUCAGGAAAGGUCAGCGGGACAGCGUGAAAGCCGCGUACGCGAAAUGAAUCGGACUUUCUGAUGCGGUACCUGAGUACGGCGGGACACGAGAAACCCUGUCGGAAACUGGGUCGACCACGAUCCAAGGCUAAAUACUCGGCAGCUACCGAUAGUGCACAAGUACCGUGAGGGAAAGGUGAAAAGAACCCCGGCAAGGGGAGUGAAAUAGAACCUGAAACCAUGGACUGGCAAGAUGUCGCAGCGCGCAAGCGUGGCGGCGUGUCUUUUGUAGAAUAAACCUGCGAGUUGUCUUAUGCAGCGAGGCUAAGGGAUAGAAGUUCCGGAGCCGGAGCGAAAGCGAGUCUGAAAAGGGCGUUUUAGUUGCAUGAGGCAGACCCGAAGCCAAGGUGAUCUAAUCAUGGGCAGGUUGAAGCCAGGGUAAAACCUGGUGGAGGACCGAACAGUAAUCUGUUAAAAAAGGUAGUGAUGACCUGUGAUUAGGAGUGAAAGGCUAAACAAACCUGGAAAUAGCUGGCUCUCCCCGAAAUGCCUUUAGGGACAGCCUCAUACAAAGCCGGCGGAGGUAAAGCACUGGAUGGGCUAGGGGGCGUCAAAGUCUACCGAAACCAAUCAAACUCUGAAUGCCGCCGACCAGCGUAUGGGAGUGAGACCGUGUGCUCCAAGGUUCAUGGUCAAAAGGGAAACAGCCCAAACCGGCAACUAAGGUCCCGAAAUAACGCUAAGUGUGAAAUGAAGUGCGAAUGCACAGACAGCCAGGAGGUUGGCUCAGAAGCAGCCAUUCCUUAAAAGAGUGCGUAACAGCUCACUGGUCGAGCAUGCGUGCGCAGACAAUGUAACGGGGCUAAGCGUUAUACCGAAGUUCCGGACUCAUGCAGCAAUGCGUGAUUGGUAGGGGAGCAUUCCAUAGACUGAAGAAGGAAUACCUGUGAGGGGUUCUGGAGGAGAUGGAAGAGAGAAUGCAGGCACAAGUAACGAAAAGACGGGUGAGAUUCCCGUCCGCCGAAAACCUAAGGUUUCCUGGGUAAAGGCAAUCUGCCCAGGGUAAGUCGGCCCCUAAGACGAGGGAGAAAUCCGUAGCCGAUGGGAAAUUGGUUUAUACUCCAAUACCUUCAUCAGUUUUUACGACAGGACGCAUGAGGUGAAAUCCGGCCGGAGAAUGGUAGUUCCGGUCAAAGCAUUAACCUGAUGAGGGAGGCGGUAAACACACCUCCUGAGGGAAGAUGUGACAGCGAGCAGAGAGAAAGUCGAAGCGAAGCGGACGUAAUCAUGGUGCCGGGAAAAACUGUCUAAAGCUAGGCUGGUGGAGACCGUACCGGAAACCGACACAGGUAGGAAGGAUGAGUAAUCUAAGGCGCACGAGCGACCUCGCGUUAAGGAACUCGGCAAAAUGCACACGUAACUUCGGAAGAAGUGUGGCUCACAUUGUCAAAGAUAGUGAGCGGCAGAAAGCAGGCCCAGGCGACUGUUUACCAAAAACACAGCCAUCUGCGAACCAGCAAUGGGACGUAUAGGUGGUGACACCUGCCCGGUACUGGAAGGUUAAGAGGAGCGGUGAGAAGCAAUUCAAAGCUGCGAAUCGAAGCCCCAGCAAACGGCGGCCGUAACUAUAACGGUCCUAAGGUAGCGAAAUUCCUUGUCGGGUAAGUUCCGACCCGCACGAAUGGUGUAACGAUUCUGGGCACUGUCUCAACGCGAGACUCGGUGAAACUUAUAUGUCGGUAAAGAAGCCGACUACCCAUAAUUAGACGGAAAGACCCCGUGAACCUUCACCGUAACUUAUCAUUGGGAUCCUAUUUAUCAUGUGUAGGAUAGCUGGGAGACAGCGAGGCGUGGGCGUCAGCCUGCGCGGAGUCGCCGGUGAAAUACCAGCCUUGAUGAAUGGGAUUUCUAACCUGCGCCGUGAAACCGGAGCGGGGACAAUGGUAGGCAGGCGGUUUGACUGGGGCGGUCGCCUCCAAAAGAGUAACGGAGGUGCGCGAAGGUCUCCUCGCGGUGGUUGGAAAUCAUCGUAUGAGUGUAAAGGCACAAGGAGGCUUGACUGCGAGCGUGACAGCGCGAGCAGGUACGAAAGUAGGUCUUAGUGAUCUGAUGGUUUCGAGUGGAAGGGCCAUCACUUAACGGACAAAAGGUACUCCGGGGAUAACAGGCUGAUUUUCCCCAAGAGUUCACAUCGACGGGAAAGUUUGGCACCUCGAUGUCGGCUCAUCGCAUCCUGGGGCUGGAGCAGGUCCCAAGGGUUUGGCUGUUCGCCAAUUAAAGCGGUACGUGAGCUGGGUUCAGAACGUCGCGAGACAGUUCGGUCCCUAUCUGUUAUGGGCGCUGGAUGUUUGAGAGGGGCUGCUUUUAGUACGAGAGGACCGAAGUGGACGAACCUCUGGUUUACCGGUUAUCCUGCCAAGGGUAAGUGCCGGGUAUCUAAGUUCGGAAGGGAUAACCGCUGAAAGCAUCUAAGCGGGAAGCCCGCCUCAAGAUCAUACAUCCCUGAGGGUUCGACCCUCCUGAAGACUCCGGAGAGACUAUCCGGUUGAUAGGCUGCAGGUGUAAGCGCGGUGACGCGUUCAGCCGAGCAGUACUAAUAAGUCGUGAGGCUUGACC
rnacentral:rRNA from 1 species